CCUAGCUGGUCUGAGAGGAUGACCAGCCACACUGGAACUGAGCCACGGUCCAGACUCCUACGGGAGGCAGCAGUGGGGAAUAUUGCACAAUGCGCGCAAGCCUGAUGCAACCAUGCCGCGUGAAUGAACAAGGCCCUCGGGUUGUAAAGUACUUUCAGCGAGUACGAAAGUGGUGUGGCUAAUCCCCGCAGCAAUUGACGUGACUCUCAGAAGAAGCACCUGCUAACUCCGUGCCAGCAGCCGCGGUAAUACGGAGGGUGCAAGCUUUAAUCGGAAUUACUGGGCGUAUAGCGCACGCAGGCGGUUUGUUAAGUCAGAUGUGAAAUCCCCGGGCUCAACCUGGGAACUGCAUUUGAAACUGGCAAGCUUGAGUCUCGUAGAGGGGGGUAGAAUUCCAGGUGUAUCGGUGAAAUGCGUAGAGA
rnacentral:rRNA from 1 species